rnacentral:rRNA from 1 species
ACGCUCGACACCUACGAGAGGCAGCAGUGGGGAAUAUUGCACAAUGGGGGAAACCCUGAUGCAGCGACGCCGCGUGAGCGAAGAAGUAUUUCGGUAUGUAAAGCUCUAUCAGCAGGGAAGAAAAUGACGGUACCUGACUAAGAAGCCCCGGCUAACUACGUGCCANNCGCGAUAUGNGCGGCGUGCGAGACG